rnacentral:rRNA from 1 species
GAUGAACGCUAGCGGGAGGCUUAACACAUGCAAGUCGAGGGGCAGCAUAGGGUAGCAAUACUCUGAUGGCGACCGGCAAACGGGUGAGUAACGCGUAUGCAACCUACCCUGUACAGGGGGAUAACCCGGAGAAAUUCGGACUAAUAUCCCGUAAUAAUAUCCGGAGGCAUCUUUGGAUAUUUAAAGUUCCGACGGUACGGGAUGGGCAUGCGUAACAUUAACUGGUUGGUAAGGUAACGGCUUACCAAGGCUAUGAUGUUUAGGGGUCCUGAGAGGUGGUCCCCCACACUGGUACUGAGACACGGACCAGACUCCUACGGGAGGCAGCAGUGAGGAAUAUUGGUCAAUGGGCGCAAGCCUGAACCAGCCAUCCCGCGUGCAGGAAGACGGCCCUAUGGGUUGUAAACUGCUUUUCCAGGGAGAGAAACUUACGCACGUGUUGCGUGACUGACGGUACCCUGGGAAUAAGCAUCGGCUAACUCCGUG